rnacentral:rRNA from 1 species
GACGAACGCUGGCAGCGUGCCUAAUACAUGCAAGUCGAGCGGAUUUAGUUUGUAGCUUGCUACAAACUAAGUUAGCGGCGGACGGGUGAGUAACACGUAGGCAACCUGCCCUUAAGACCGGGAUAACAUCCGGAAACGAAUGCUAAGACCGGAUAGGCAGCGAGGCGGCAUCGCCUUGCUGAGAAACACGGAGCAAUCUGUGGCUUGAGGAUGGGCCUGCGGCGCAGUAGCUAGUUGGUGGGGUAACGGCUCACCAAGGCGCCGAUGCGUAGGCGACAGAGGAGGGUGAACGGCCACACUGGGACGGGGACACGGCCCAGACUCCUACGGGAGGCAGCAGUAGGGAAUCUUCCACAAUGGGCGCAAGCCUGAUGGAGCAACGCCGCGUGAGUGAGGAAGGCUUUCGGGUCGUAAAGCUCUGUUGCCAGGGAAGAAUAAGGGUGUGUUAACUGCACACCCGAUGACGGUACCUGAGAAGAAAGCCCCGGCUAACUACGUGCCAGCCGCCGCUGUAA